rnacentral:rRNA from 1 species
CGCUAGCGGCAGGCUUAACACAUGCAAGUCGAGGGGCAGCGGGGAGGAAGCUUGCUUUCUCCGCCGGCGACCGGCGCACGGGUGAGUAACACGUAUGCAACCUGCCCCUGUCAGGGGGACAACCCGCCGAAAGGCGGGCUAAACCCGCGUACAUGCCACCGGGGCAUCCCGGAGGCAGGAAAGGCUUCGGCCGGACAGGGAUGGGCAUGCGGCGCAUUAGGCAGUAGGCGGGGUAACGGCCCACCUAACCGACGAUGCGUAGGGGUUCUGAGAGGAAGGUCCCCCACACUGGUACUGAGACACGGACCAGACUCCUACGGGAGGCAGCAGUGAGGAAUAUUGGUCAAUGGUCGGGAGACUGAACCAGCCAAGCCGCGUGAGGGAGGAAGGUACAGAGUAUCGUAAACCUCUUUUGUCAGGGAACAAUGGCGGGGACGUGUCCCCGGAUGAGUGUACCUGAAGAAAAAGCAUCGGCUAACUCCGUGCCAGCAGCCGCGGUAAUACGGAGGAUGCGAGCGUUAUCCGGAUUUAUUGGGUUUAAAGGGUGCGCAGGCGGUCUGUUAAGUCAGCGGUCAAAGCCCGGGGCUCAACCCCGGCCCGCCGUUGAAACUGGCAGUCUCGAGUUGGAGAGAAGUAUGCGGAAUGCGCGGUGUAGCGGUGAAAUGCAUAGAUAUCGCGCAGAACUCCGAUUGCGAAGGCAGCAUGCCGGCUCCACACUGACGCUGAGGCACGAAAGCGUGGGUAUCGAACAGGAUUAGAUACCCUGGUAGUCCACGCAGUAAACGAUGAAUGCUGGCUGUCCGGGGGGAUUGACCCCUGGGUGGCGAAGCGAAAGCGAUAAGCAUUCCACCUGGGGAGUACGCCGGCAACGGUGAAACUCAAAGGAAUUGACGGGGGCCCGCACAAGCGGAGGAACAUGUGGUUUAAUUCGAUGAUACGCGAGGAACCUACCCGGGCUCAAACGGGGAGUGACUCAGGCAGAGACGCCUGUUUCCCACGGGACACUCCCCGAGGUGCUGCAUGGUUGUCGUCAGCUCGUGCCGUGAGGUGUCGGCUUAAGUGCCAUAACGAGCGCAACCCCCGCGUGCAGUUGCUAACAGAUAACGCUGAGGACUCUGCACGGACUGCCGGCGCAAGCCGCGAGGAAGGCGGGGAUGACGUCAAAUCAGCACGGCCCUUACGUCCGGGGCGACACACGUGUUACAAUGGGUGGUACAGCGGGAAGCCAGGCGGCGACGCCGAGCGGAACCCGAAAUCCACUCUCAGUUCGGAUCGGAGUCUGCAACCCGACUCCGUGAAGCUGGAUUCGCUAGUAAUCGCGCAUCAGCCAUGGCGCGGUGAAUACGUUCCCGGGC